rnacentral:rRNA from 1 species
UACGUAGGGUGCAAGCGUUAAUCGGAAUUACUGGGCGUAAAGCGCGUGUAGGCGGCUUAGCAAGUCGGAUGUGAAAGCCCUGGGCUUAACCCAGGAAGUGCACUCGAAACUGCUGAGCUUGAGUUCUGGAGAGGAAGGCGGAAUUCUCGGUGUAGAGGUGAAAUUCGUAGAUAUCGAGAGGAACACCGGUGGCGAAGGCGGCUUUCUGGACAGUGACUGACGCUGAGACGCGAAAGCGUGGGGAGCAAACAGG